UCCUUUCUAUCCAUCCUCACUCCAGGUCCGGUGGAGAUGGUGGUGGUGAGAUGCAGGGAGAUGGAGAGAAAAAUGGGAGCACCACCUUUCUUUACAAAGCCAAAAGCUACAUCCCCAUUGACCUAGAUGUCAUAAGAGUUUUUUUUCCCCAAAGGGCACCAUGAUGGAGAAUCGGCUUUCCCAAGGACACACAUACCUUUGUCACACCAAGCACCACCUUGUCCUCAGACUGUUCUUGUACUGGCUUUGUUUACAAGCCAGAUUUUUUUUAAAAUGAGAAAAAUCAAAUGUUCACUUAAGAAGUGAAAUUUGAAUAAAAUUACAGUUUCAGGCAAAGCCUAUAUUAUUUUUAAAAUCAGCGAAUAAAGCAAGGGAUAUUAAAUCAUGAUCUUCACCUGAAC
rnacentral:lncRNA from 10 species